GGGCGACACUUCGAGGCGGAGUGACACGUGUCGCCCCGCCCAUAUUUGUUUUCCCCGCCUUUGACAUUUUCCUCCGAGCCAGCAGGGGGCAGUUUGCGUUGAAACAAACAGAACGGUGGCAACUACAGCAGCAGAGUAAUAACGCUAUUCCGUUGAUUGCUUGAGGUGAGUAAAGGUGGUUGUGUAAAUAUCUUAUAAUAUGAAAUGCGAUGUUCGAUCAUUUAUUUAUCCAUGGUACGUUCAAUUUGAAUAAUUAUUGUUAAUAAUUGUUAUAAAUUGCUCAUUUUAUUGUUCUUUGUGGAUUGUAACAAUACACUCUGUACAUGGCUUUAGUUCAUAGGUUCGAUUUUACAGAGGAUGACAUGAUCAGAAGGUGGUGGUGUUCUGUUCUCCUGGACAGCUUUACUCCGCAAAUAGCUCAACCACUGAGGAGAACUUCACCAUUCACCAUGUCUUCAGGCAGAGUCCAGCAAAGCAGCUUCCACUGGAAAUCCUCAGGGAAGUUAUUUUGUCGGCGGGUGACUCUGCAUAUUUGACACUUUCUCUGGUUUGCAGAUGGUUUAGGGAUGUGCUCCGAAGUUUUUCGGAAAGCGGCACAGUUUGCCUGGCUAGAGAUUGUGGCCAACUGGAAGAAUUGUCCUCCUGUCUCCUGACCGGAACGAGUUCAGACGGAUGUACAGCAUCAGGGAACACUUGCAGUGCAGAGCCCUUUUCAAGUUUAACCCACCAGGGUACAGGGAAGAGACCGUCGUGGUGAUCUUCUGAGCUUUUGUUAACAAAGGAUUUUGUUCCAAGGACUGUUUUUUUUUUUUUUUUUUUUUUGCGGCAUGAAACACAUUUGUGUGUUAAGUUCAUUGAAGGGAAAUAGAGAAUGGGCUGAGAUCAACUGGUUUUGAUUAUUAAUUGAUGUAAUUUAAAGUUAAACUUUGCACUGUAUAAUGUUUUAAUAAAAAAGCUAUGGAAAACA